GAUGAACGCUAGCGGCAGGCUUAACACAUGCAAGUCGAGGGGUAUAGUAGCAAUACUAGAGACCGGCGCACGGGUGCGUAACGCGUAUGCAACCUACCUUUUACAGAGGGAUAGCCCCAGAGAAAUUUGGAUUAAUACCUCAUAGUGUUAUUAGAUGGCAUCAUUUGAUAACUAAAGUUCCAACGGUAAAAGAUGGGCAUGCGUCCUAUUAGCUAGAUGGUAAGGUAACGGCUUACCGUGGCUACGAUGGGUAGGGGUCCUGAGAGGAGAUCCCCACACUGGUACUGAGACACGGACCAGACUCCUACGGGAGGCAGCAG
rnacentral:rRNA from 1 species